AUGGAUGAAAGCGGGGGAUCGCAAGACCUCGCGCGAUUGGAGCGGCCGAUAUCAGAUUAGGGUAGUUGGUGAGGUAAAGGCUCACCAAGCCGACGAUCUGUAGCUGGUCUGAGAGGACGACCCAGUCCACACUGGGACUGAGACACGGCCCAGACUCCUACGGGAGGCAGCAGUGGGGAAUUUUGGACAAUGGGCGCAAGCCUGAUCCAGCAAUGCCGCGUGCAGGAUGAAGGCCUUCGGGUUGUAAACUGCUUUGUACGGAACGAAACGGUGAGCUCUAAUACAGUUUGCUAAUGACGGUACCGUAAGAAUAAGCACCGGCUAACUACGUG
rnacentral:rRNA from 1 species